AAUAGAUACCCCGGUAGUCCAUGCCGUAAACGUUGGGAACUAGAUGUGGGGACCAUUCCACGGUCUCCGUGUCGCAGCUAACGCAUUAAGUUCCCCGCCUGGGGAGUACGGCCGCAAGGCUAAAACUCAAAGGAAUUGACGGGGGCCCGCACAAGCGGCGGAGCAUGCGGAUUAAUUCGAUGCAACGCGAAGAACCUUACCAAGGCUUGACAUAUACCGGAAAGGUCUGGAAACAGUCCCCCCGCAAGGUCGGUAUACAGGUGGUGCAUGGUUGUCGUCAGCUCGUGUCGUGAGAUGUUGGGUUAAGUCCCGCAACGAGCGCAACCCUCGUCUUAUGUUGCCAGCGGUUCGGCCGGGGACUCAUAAGAGACUGCCGGGGUCAACUCGGAGGAAGGUGGGGAUGAGGUCAAAUCAUCAUGCCCCUUAUGUCUUGGGCUUCACGCAUGCUACAAUGGCCGGUACAAAGGGCUGCAAUACCGCGAGGUGGAGCGAAUCCCAAAAGCCGGUCUCAGUUCGGAUUGAGGUCUGCAACUCGACCCCAUGAAGUCGG
rnacentral:rRNA from 1 species